CUUCACGGAGCCGAGGAGCAGCGGCCGGUCGGCCGGCGCUCCUUGCCGUAGGUGGCGAUGAGGGCCUGCGCCUC
rnacentral:antisense_RNA from 1 species